UUGCAGGCUGCAACUCGCCUGCAUGAAGUUGGAAUUGCUAGUAAUCGCGAAUCAGAAUGUCGCGGUGAAUACGUUCCCGGGCCCUGUACACACCGCCCGUCAAGCCAUGGGAGCCGGGGGUACCUGAAGUGCGUAACCGCGAGGAGCGCCCUAGGGUAAAACUGGUGACUGGGGCUAAGUCGUAACAAGGUAAC
rnacentral:rRNA from 1 species